rnacentral:rRNA from 1 species
GUGAGAGGGUGAUCGGCCACACUGGGACUGAGAUACGGCCCAGACUCCUACGGGAGGCAGCAGUAGGGAAUAUUGCGCAAUGGACGAAAGUCUGACGCAGCGACGCCGCGUGGGUGAUGAAGCUCCUUGGAGUGUAAAACCCUGUCAGUGGGGAAGAACCGUACCGGGAAUAACUGCCCGGUGCCUGACGGUACCCGCAGAGGAAGCUCCGGCUAACUCCGUGCCAGCAGCCGCGGUAAUACGGGGGGAGCUAGCGUUGUUCGGAUUUACUGGGCGUAAAGGGCGUGCAGGCGGAUUUUCAAGUCAUGUGUGAAACCCAGCGGCUCAACCGCUGGCCUGCACCUGAAACUGUUAAUCUUGAGUACGGGAGAGGAAGGCGGAAUUCCUGGUGUAGCGGUGAAAUGCGUAGAUAUCAGGAGGAACACCGGUGGCGAAGGCGGCUUUCUGGCCCGAUACUGACGCUGAGGCGCGAAGGCCGGGGGAGCAAACAGGAUUAGAUACCCUGGUAGUCCCGGCAGUAAACGAUGGGCACUAGGUGUUGGAGGUAUCGACCCCUUCAGUGCCGCAGCUAACGCAUUAAGUGCCCCGCCUGGGGAGUACGACCGCAAGGUUGAAACUCAAAGGAAUUGACGGGUCCCCGCACAAGCGGUGGAGUAUGUGGUUUAAUUCGAAGCAACGCGAAGAACCUUACCUGGGCUUGACAUGUAUCGGACCGAGGCUGAAAGGUCUCUUUCCCUUCGGGGAUCGAUACACAGGUGCUGCAUGGCUGUCGUCAGCUCGUGCCGUGAGGUGUUGGGUUAAGUCCCGCAACGAGCGCAACCCCUGUCCCUAGUUGCCAGCGAGUAAUGUCGGGAACUCUAGGGAUACUGCUAGUGAUAAGCUGGAGGAAGGUGGGGACGACGUCAAGUCCUCAUGGCCCUUACGCCCAGGGCUACACACGUACUACAAUGGCCGGUACAGAGGGCUGCAAAGCCGCGAGGUGGAGCCAAUCCCUAAAGCCGGCCUCAGUUCAGAUUGGAGUCUGCAACUCGACUCCAUGAAGGCGGAAUCGCUAGUAAUCGCUGAUCAGCAGGCAGCGGUAAAUACGUUCCCGGGGAUUGUACACACCGCCCGUCAAGCCACGGAAGUUGGGGGUACCCGAAGUCGUUUGCCUAACCGUAAGGAGGGCGGCGCCUAAGGUAAAACCGAUGACUGGGGCUAAGUCGUAACAAGGUA